rnacentral:rRNA from 1 species
UACGAAGGGGGCUAGCGUUGCUCGGAAUUACUGGGCGUAAAGGGCGCGUAGGCGGAUAUUUAAGUCGGGGGUGAAAGCCCAGGGCUCAACCCUGGAAUUGCCUUCGAUACUGGAUAUCUUGAGUUCGGGAGAGGUGAGUGGAGUGCCGAGUGUAGAGGUGAAAUUCGUAGAUAUUCGGCGGAACACCAGUGGCGAAGGCGACUCACUGGCCCGAUACUGACGCUGAGGCGCGAAAGCGUGGGGAGCAAACAGG